UACGUAGGGUGCGAGCGUUAAUCGGAAUUACUGGGCGUAAAGCGUGCGCAGGCGGUUCGCUAAGACCGAUGUGAAAUCCCCGGGCUCAACCUGGGAACUGCAUUUGUGACUGCAUGGCUAGAGUGCGGCAGAGGGGGAUGGAAUUCCGCGUGUAGCAGUGAAAUGCGUAGAUAUGCGGAGGAACACCGAUGGCGAAGGCAAUCCCCUGGGCCUGCACUGACGCUCAUGCACGAAAGCGUGGGAGCAAACAG
rnacentral:rRNA from 1 species